UCUCUCUCUGUCCCAAAAAUAAAUAAACGUUGAAAAAAAAAAUUAAAAAUAAAUAAAUAAAUAAAUAAAAUAUUAAAAAAAAUUGCAUAUCUUCUGGAGCAGUGACUUCAAGUGUAGCUAUUUAUAGCAAUAAUAUUUCUAUAGUUGCACAAAAUAUUAUAAUACAAGAAUGUUUAUCACAAUAAUUAUAUUAAAAUGAAACAUGUGGAAACCCCAAAUGUCAACAGAGAUUGAUGUAGUUACUCAGUAGCCUAAUGUGCAGACAAAAAGAAUGACAAUUAACAUCUUACUCAGACUAUUUAAUGUCAUAUAAGAAAUCCAAUGUAUAAUAUAUAAAUGAAGCAGGUUAUCAAACAACAUGUGAAAUUGUGGUAGAUGCUGUGUGUGUCACAGCCAUGUACCUUCACCCUCACUAUUUCAGUCUAUGCUUGCUUGACUUCUAAUUGCUGGAUUCUACUUCUGUUUGCCUGAGUUUUCUUUGUCCAGGUGCUUAGCAGGCCAGAAUGCUAAAGAAUAAUGUUCCUGGAUGCGUAAUUGCCCAAUAAUUGAUGGAGUUCAUGUACAGAUAGCCCAGGUCACACACUCUUUUGCUGAAGUGACUUUGAGAACAGUGCUCCAUACUGACUCCCAGAGUUCCUCAUUGGGAUCAGAUCCAAGAAUCCACAGUGAUGACUUCCCAGCUGGAAUGGAGAUUUCAUGGGCCAUGUGCAUGAAUGAUCUCACUGAUGGCAGAGCAUCAAAAUCAAGGGCCUGUGGCCAUCAGUGAGAUGGCUCAGUAGCAAGCCUGCCUAGACUCUGAAGCUUUUGGAGUGAGGAGAUAACAGGAGGAUGCUGUCCAUUCCAGUCCAUUCCAGCUGGUCCCUGAUAUUGACGUGGGUGCUGUUUUGGCCUCAAUCCUGCCCUCUGCCUGUAUUCACUGAGUGGGAUUUCCCCACCAGAAACCUUCGCAUUCUCUGAGUCAUUUGGACUUGGACUUACUUGUCCAGAAGUUUUAGUUCCUGGAGAACUUGAGAAGGACUCCUUCUCCAGUUGUUGGACUUUAUUCCCCCUGCUGCUGCUCCACACCACCACAGCUUAUUCAGUCACUGGACAGUUCUUGGUGAAGAAUGAUACUCCUUAUUGCAGCGUGCCCCUUCGGCCUUGGCAAAGACCCAGCACAUUCUUCCACCUGAUGGUUUGAUGAAAAACCAAGGUUCAAUAAGAAGCCUUUGUCUUGGGGAAACUGAAUUUUCCUGCUGAGAUGGUAGACCAUACUUGGUUCUGUUUCCAGUUCGAAAUAGUGCCAUAUUUAUCAAACAACACUUUGAAGUAUCAUUUGAGAAAUUUAUGGGAUCUUCACUUUUCUUAUUUGUAAAUGAUGUAGUAUUUAAUAUAUCCAAAUGAAUUUAUACAAAUAAAUGCACAUUAUAAAGCAUAAUUUGGAAUACAAAUAUAAUGGGAAAUCUCAUUUUAAUUUUUAUCCAUAUGAACUGUCCUGUUACAAUGUAUAAAUGCAAGAAUAUAUCUUCAUGUAAAUAUUUUCAAUAAAAAAAUGAGCAAAACCA